UACAGAGGGUGCGAGCGUUGUCCGGAAUCACUGGGCGUAAAGGGCGCGUAGGUGGCGGCCCAAGUCCAUGGUGAAAGCUCGUCGCUCAACGACGAGUCGGCCACGGAUACUGGGUUGCUCGAGCACUGUAGAGGCAGAUGGAAUUCCGGGUGUAGCGGUGGAAUGCGUAGAGAUCCGGAAGAACACCGGUGGCGAAGGCGGUCUGCUGGGCCAGUUGCUGACACUGAGGCGCGACAGCGUGGGGAGCAAACAGG
rnacentral:rRNA from 1 species